AGUUGAGUUGAGUUGAGUUUUAAUUUUUAGUAAAGGACCCAAAGUCCACAUUUUUUUUUUAAUAAAAAUCACUCUUCAUGUCUUGCUGUCCUUAAAAUUUUAAAAUUAUAGCCAUCUCUUAUGAAAAUCUGCCGAUUGUCAAAUUUAGAGGCCUUAUUUUCAAAGAUAUGUUUUUUUUUAAUCAUUCUAAACUUCCUUAUACAAAAAAAUAAAUAAUUUUAAGCAUACUGUUUACACUAUAUUUGGAUUAUGAUUUGUGAUGGUUUCAUAUUAUAUGGUAUGGUUAAUGUACAUGCUUGGGAAGAUUGUUCGUAGCAAAAAAUGGUUUUGGGUUGUAACCAUAAUUUUAUCGUAGUUUUUUAAACCACUAAUUUAGUGGUUUGGCAUGGUUUAAAAUUU
rnacentral:misc_RNA from 1 species